GUUUUUCCAAGCAUUUGGUCAUCAACAACUCAAACUUGCUGGAGAGAGCCAGUUAAGAAUCAAGGCCUCUCCAAAUCCAAACAACAUGACGUCAAAGCCGAAAGCCAUGGAUACUAAAGGUGCGCCUGGACUGAAAAAUUCUGAGGCUAGGACGAAAGGGAAACAUGCGCAUGUGCAGCAAGACGCAUCUUCUACUGCACCUAAAGCUAAAGCGCCAAGUACUACCCAACUGCCGACGUUUGCACCAAACAGCAAACAUGAAAAGCCAGCCAACCCAGGCGGCAAGGCUCCAAAGCGGUGAAUUCCGGAUUCACAUAUACAUUUUAAACCUCUUGUGUGGAUUGAUGAAGAAGAAUAAUGACAUGUACAUCAUUUGGCGUGCUUUGUCUACUAAAUAAUACAUAUACCGAAGACUCUAAUAGUAUCUAAGAAGUUAAGAGGUGGAAAAGAAAUAUGGAUCGAUCUAUUGCAUGUUAAUAGUUUGUACGUCCUCGGUGGAUUUCGCCACUGUCCUAAGUUCAUGUACUGGUAUUGUAUUGAAUUCUCAUGUAUUGGUAAAUUUGGAUGGUAUUGAGUUGUAUCUUCUUUCU